rnacentral:rRNA from 4 species
CCAGCUUGCUGGUGUGGAUGAGUGGCGAACGGGUGAGUAAUACGUGAGUAACCUGCCCUUGACUCUGGGAUAAGCCCGGGAAACUGGGUCUAAUACUGGAUGCUACAUGUCACCGCAUGGUGGUGUGUGGAAAGGGUUUACUGGUCUUGGAUGGGCUCACGGCCUAUCAGCUUGUUGGUGAGGUAAUGGCUCACCAAGGCGACGACGGGUAGCCGGCCUGAGAGGGUGACCGGCCACACUGGGACUGAGACACGGCCCAGACUCCUACGGGAGGCAGCAGUGGGGAAUAUUGCACAAUGGGCGAAAGCCUGAUGCAGCGACGCCGCGUGAGGGAUGACGGCCUUCGGGUUGUAAACCUCUUUCAGCAGGGAAGAAGCCACAAGUGACGGUACCUGCAGAAGAAGCGCCGGCUAACUACGUGCCAGCAGCCGCGGUAAUACGUAGGGCGCAAGCGUUGUCCGGAAUUAUUGGGCGUAAAGAGCUCGUAGGCGGUUUGUCGCGUCUGCUGUGAAAGCCCGGGGCUUAACCCCGGGUGUGCAGUGGGUACGGGCAGACUAGAGUGCAGUAGGGGAGACUGGAAUUCCUGGUGUAGCGGUGGAAUGCGCAGAUAUCAGGAGGAACACCGAUGGCGAAGGCAGGUCUCUGGGCUGUUACUGACGCUGAGGAGCGAAAGCAUGGGGAGCGAACAGGAUUAGAUACCCUGGUAGUCCAUGCCGUAAACGUUGGGCAC